rnacentral:lncRNA from 1 species
GUUUAUGACGUUCUUUCACAAAAGAGUAUAAUCAUUCUUAGACUGUUGACAUGGCUGUGGAAAGCCUUAGGAGAAGUAGAAACAAUUUAGGGAGGGUGGGGAAUGUACUCAUCCCCUCUUCUUUCCAUCCUAGUGCCCCCACCAAAGAGGCUUCUUGUUGCAGCCCUCAGUAUCUGGAUAUGGGCCAGGGAGGAAGGAAGGGAAAGAGCAAUGCUGCUGUGCUUCAAUCCUGGCCUUCCCCUCACAGAAUUCUUUUAGGAAGAGCAAGCUUUUAAUCCUUUGAACUUGUAGAACAUCUGGGAGUCCACUUCCCUGUCCUCUUCCUGAUCCCUGCUUUCUGGACUGUUUAAAUCCUCUUUGGGAUGGAUCAGAGAGUCUAGAGAGGCCACUCAUAGGUCCAGCUGCUGGCCUCCUGACUCUCCAAAGCCUUCACUGGAAUUGGGACAUUUGCUCCAGCCCUAGCUGUGAACAUGACCAGAGACAUUAUUUAUAAUUCAGCCAUUUAAGAUAUACCUGUACUCAAAAAGUCCUGUAUAUUUUUAAAAAGUUUUAUUUUUCAGGUGAACAAAAAUACAUCCUAAGAACUCUGCCUAA